AUUUAUAUAAUUUAUUAAAAUAUUACAUUUUCAUUGUAAAAAUGCCCUAGGGUUGUAAAUA
rnacentral:tRNA from 1 species